ensembl:lncRNA LOC102546320 uncharacterized LOC102546320
AUUUGGUUUAGGGGGGACAUUUCUAAGUGGGGAUUUCCAUGUUGAGUGUUUGUGAAGCUUUAGAGCACAGUAGCGACUUACCUGUAUGCCUGUCUGAGAGAGAGAACAUCAGGAAUGUUGUCAGUGAACCUGGAAGGGUUUCUUAGAGGGCUAGGCUGUUAUAGGCGACUCUUAAAGCAACAAGGGAUAAAAGUGUCUAAAAUGAGGACCAUAGUUGUGGCAGAGUCUUCAAAUGUUAGGUCUCCUCUUGAGAAUGCAAUUUAUGUUGGUCAUUGACUUCUUUUUUUUUCUUUUUUCUUUUUUUCAGAGCUGGGGACCGAACCCAGGGCCUUCCGCUUGCCAGGCAAGCGCUCUACCACUGAGCUAAAUCCCCAACCCCUGGUCAUUGACUUCUUAUCACAUAGGCAUGUGGGCAGCUGGUUGUAGAAUUCUCACCAUGAUCAUGGCCAUCUCCUUUUAUUGAAAGAAGUGAGCCUUUUGUCCCUAGGGCUCCCUUCUCUCCAUUCUCUUCUCCUUAUAUAAUGAUGGUGACCUUUUGGAGCCUCUGACAGACCAAGAAGACCUCCACAGGUUAUCUCAUUUACAAGGAUACAAGGUGGGCUCCUAGCUUAGGAGUUACUGGCAACUCCUAACUGCUGGGAGACUGAAAGUCCGUCUUCGUUAAGAGUACGAUUUCUGGUGGAUCGACCACACUCCAGUGGGAGGCAACCCAUCCAGACACAUACGGGCAGCACUAGUUGAACUCAGCGAGUUAAAGAGGAGAAAAGGGGAAUAGGAGGCACCAUCUCAGGUUACCCCCGCACCUGCCACAGUAUUAAAUGGAUACUGAACCAUACAUUUUCCUUUCAUCUGUCUAUGCCCUCAGCAAGACAGACAAAGUGUGCAAUUCAGGCUCGAAGGCUCGGAGAUCAGCAGAUGUACGUGGUUGCUCAAAAUCGAUGGAUACACCGGUUGUCCAAAAUUAGUCUCUAAGCAGGACCAGAGCCCAGAUAACCAUACUUGGGAACUAAAUUGUGAAAGGGAGGUCCAGGAAGGCUGUGACAAACACCCAGGCUUCAAAGUGCUGUCACCAGAAGCCAGCAUCGCUGUAAGGAGCAUACAGGAUGAUUUUUUUUAAACCCCCAAUAUUUCUUCCUUUCUAUAUACUUUUCACCAACCUGUAAUGCAAGUUUAAAGGAAAAAAAAUGGAAACCUCAAUUCCCCAAACUAAUAAAAAUUGUGUUUAGUACAUUCGGAUCUUAGUGG